rnacentral:rRNA from 1 species
AUUGAACGCUGGCGGCAUGCCUUACACAUGCAAGUCGAACGGCAGCACGGGAGCAAUCCUGGUGGCGAGUGGCGAACGGGUGAGUAAUAUAUCGGAACGUGCCCAGUCGUGGGGAUAACGUAGCGAAAGCUACGCUAAUACCGCAUACGAUCUAUGGAUGAAAGCGGGGGAUCGCAAGACCUCGCGCGAUUGGAGCGGCCGAUAUCAGAUUAGGUAGUUGGUGAGGUAAAGGCUCACCAAGCCGACGAUCUGUAGCUGGUCUGAGAGGACGACCAGCCACACUGGGACUGAGACACGGACCAGACUCCUACGGGAGGCAGCAGUGAGGAAUAUUGGACAAUGGGCGCAAGCCUGAUCCAGCCAUGCCGCGUGCAGGAUGACGGUCCUAUGGAUUGUAAACUGCUUUUGUACAGGAAGAAACACUACUUCGUGAAGUAGCUUGACGGUACUGUAAGAAUAAGGAUCGG